rnacentral:rRNA from 1 species
UGGGGAAUUUUGGACAAUGGGGGAAACCCUGAUCCAGCCAUCCCGCGUGUGCGAUGAAGGCCUUCGGGUUGUAAAGCACUUUUGGCAGGAAAGAAACGUCGCGGGUUAAUACCCCGCGGAACUGACGGUACCUGCAGAAUAAGCACCGGCUAACUACGUGCCAGCAGCCGCGGUAAUACGUAGGGUGCAAGCGUUAAUCGGAAUUACUGGGCGUAAAGCGUGCGCAGGCGGUUCGGAAAGAAAGAUGUGAAAUCCCAGAGCUUAACUUUGGAACUGCAUUUUUAACUACCGGGCUAGAGUGUGUCAGAGGGAGGUGGAAUUCCGCGUGUAGCAGUGAAAUGCGUAGAUAUGCGGAGGAACACCGAUGGCGAAGGCAGCCUCCUGGGAUAACACUGACGCUCAUGCACGAAAGCGUGGGGAGCAAACAGGAUUAGAUACCCUGGUAGUCCACGCCCUAAACGAUGUCAACUAGCUGUUGGGGUCUUCGGACCUUGGUAGCGCAGCUAACGCGUGAAGUGACCGCCUGGGGAGUACGGUCGCAAG